AGGAAACCAGUGAGAAGCUUGAGCAGU
rnacentral:piRNA from 1 species